GACGAACGCUGGCGGCGUGCUUAACACAUGCAAGUCGAACGAUGAACCCGGAGCUUGCUCCGGCGGAUUAGUGGCGAACGGGUGAGUAACACGUGAGUAACCUGCCCUUGACUCUGGGAUAACUGCGGGAAACUGUAGCUAAUACCGGAUACGACACCUUGGGGCAUCCCAGGGUGUGGAAAGAAUUUCGGUCAAGGAUGAGCUCGCGGCCUAUCAGCUAGUUGGUGAGGUAAUGGCUCACCAAGGCGACGACGGGUAGCCGGCCUGAGAGGGUGACCGGCCACACUGGAACUGAGACACGGUCCAGACUCCUACGGGAGGCAGCAGGGGGGAAUAUUGCACAAUGGGCGAAAGCCUGAUGCAGCAACGCCGCGUGAGGGAUGAAGGCCUUCGGGUUGUAAACCUCUUUUAGCAGGGAAGAAGCGAAAGUGACGGUACCUGCAGAAAAAGCCACGGCUAACUACGUGCCAGCCGCCGCCGUAA
rnacentral:rRNA from 1 species